rnacentral:rRNA from 2 species
ACGUAGGUGGCAAGCGUUGUCCGGAAUUAUUGGGCGUAAAGCGCGCGCAGGCGGAUUGGUCAGUCUGUCUUAAAAGUUCGGGGCUUAACCCCGUGAUGGGAUGGAAACUGCCAAUCUAGAGUAUCGGAGAGGAAAGUGGAAUUCCUAGUGUAGCGGUGAAAUGCGUAGAUAUUAGGAAGAACACCAGUGGCGAAGGCGACUUUCUGGACGAAAACUGACGCUGAGGCGCGAAAGCCAGGGGAGCGAACGG